AAAACAAAAGAAUUCACACAAGGAGACCAAAGAAAAAUAAGCAAAGAAAAAUAAGUUUGUUGUCUAUAUCCUAUUGACCCGCCCCAUUUAAGUUCAAAAAAUCUAACAAGAAACAUAAAAAGAAAAUAAGGAGAAAAGGGAAAGUUCAAAGACUUUCCAAAGUUUAGAAAAGGAAGGUGGGGCUCGGAUGUCUGUGGAAGCUUCUAGAGGUCGACUAACGGCAACAACCGGAGACGAUGACCUGAGCUGCACGUAGGUGUAUUCCACCUGCAUAUCCUCACUGCAAGCUAUCUUCAUCACCCAUUUAUAAGUCGCUAUCCUUAGAACUGAAUAGCUUUCCCAUUUUAUCAACUUCAGCUAAUUUUUUUUUCCUCUCACAAUUUUGGUUGAUGCCAUUCCACAACCUCACGCUCUCACCAGGCGCCGUGGGAUCGAAUAACCAAGAAAAUUAUUUCCAUCGUUGGGAUUAAGACCACUUAAAGUUGAUUUGCAGGUAUAAAUUGGCUUUUUUCUUUCGAAUCUCGACUCGACUAUUAAUCUUUUUACCUACACUUCUAUAUUUGAAAUCCCGCAGGUUGAAUUUCUAAUGAAAUUAAUAUCGUUGCGUGAAUUUUAUCUAUAUUAGUGUAUUUUAUAAGGUUAAUAAUUUGACUUUCUAUGGAUCUUGUCGGUCUUUAUCUGCAAAUUGUGUUGUGCAACAUGUUUAUUGUGCCAUCUCCGAGUUGAUGGUAAUGUUUAUUGUUCCUUGUCUGAUCUAGUCUGACUCUCUAGCAACGGUGGUACUGAACCUUAAGUUUGGUAACCUUAAUUUGUCAUCAUUUAUUAUUCUCUGAGCAUGUGUUGGUAAUUCCUGAAAGUUAUUAAACUGCGCAAUACCUGCAAAAUCAAAAACAUAGUUAGUGAUAAAAUCAGCCAGUUGAUUUUCCUCUCUAGCUAUGUGUUGAAGGUGACAUACUCCUUUAGAUCUCCAAAUUAAUCUUGUCCACAUACAUUACAAUAUUCCAAGAAACCCUUUAAUCUCCAUCCAAAAUUUCUUUAUCACGAGACUAUCAGUUUCAAUGAUUACAUGUGAUAGACUAUUCCUAAUACAAUGUUCUAUUCCCUAUAAAAUGGCUCUUCAUUUUGCACGCUUGUAGUAUCAGGAAUAACUUCAUCUUUAGCAUAUAUCAAAUCUCCAUCCUUAUUCCUGAUAGUGAAAGCAUAGGAACUAUCACUAAGGUUGCCUCUUGAAGCACCAUUCGUAUUAUAUUUGAACAAUCCAUAAUCAGGUGGUGUCCAUCGAACUACCUUGCAAAUCACAUUAGGCCUCUAUCUCUCCAAAAAUUCUAUCAUCUCUGGCCAAGUGUGUGGAAUAUUCUUCAUCCAUGGAUAUAUUUUUUUGUCCACCCAAUUAAGAUUCAGAUUAAUUUCCUAAAUCACUUUAUGCUUAGACAAUUCUCUGCCAUAGUAAUAAAGUUCCUCCACUUCCAUAUUUGCCAUAGAAUCAUAGCUGGAGUAGCCUGAUAUAGAGGCCUGAGUUUAGACACAGUCAUGAUUCCACCACUUCAAAAUAGAUUGUUUAACUUUGACAAAUGGUCCAUGAAUACCUGCAGCAGUAGUAAAGUAUAACCAGAUUUUCCUACCAAAGGUACAUGUUAUGAGCAGAUGAGUAAUGGUUUCUUGUUGUGGGUGUAUGCAACUUCUGCACCUUGAAACCAUUGGUAUUUCAUAUCUUGCUACCACCUCAUCAAUAGGUAUCUUUCAAUUUCAGACCUUCUACAAGAAAAAAGAAAAUCUUGAAAGGUAAUUCCUGCAUCCAUAAUUUGACAAUGUUUUCAUCUUUCUGCUUCUUAUGUCUCAGUAAUUCCGAUGCACUUUUCACAAAAAAUCUCCCAUUGCUAUUAUCCAUCCACCAAUGUCUGUCCCAUAACUCAAAUCUUUCAAAAAUCUUAAUUUUUGUAUCCACAUGUUCUACAAUGUCACGAGGUAUGUGUUGAUACAUUAAAUUUUGAUUUCACUGCCUAUUGCCUAUGAAUAUGCGAUGAACACCCAGUUUUAACCUUACUCUGAUACCACUUGUUAGGACCGAAAUAAUCAGGUUUCCGCAUGCGGAAGCUAGCAAAGAAAAUCUUGAAAGACCAUGAAUAAGAAGAUAAAUGAGAAAUACACCAAAAGAGACAUAAAAAUUCAAUGUGGUUAGGUCAAUCGACAUACAUUCACAAAAGGAGAUGAGCAAUCCACUCUAUAAGAGAGUACAAACUGUCAAGAGAGACAACCUUACAUAAUUCACUCACAAUAAAAGAGGUUCACACAAGUGAUACUGCAACCUUUGUGUCUCACAAAGUCUCUCCCCAAAUGAAACUCUCACACCCCUAGGACUACAUUGUGGAUACUAUCAAACUAGAUGAAAGGAGCCUCCAUUAUAGAGUAUACAAUCUUUUCCUAUACGAACAAGGAUUAGACAAAUAAGGAGAAUAUGUUUUCCUUUUUCUAAAGAAAAAUUCAAUUAUGGUAACAAAGUCAGGACAAACACCAACAGAGUUUAAUGGAGUAACAAGAUUUGAAGUUCUAGAUGGAUAUAAACAACACACUGUGUGUUUGAGAAAAAGGGCGUGCAGUUGUAGAUCUUGGAUGUUGAAGGGGAUACCUUGUCCAAAUGCUUUAGCUACCAUGUUUCAUAAGUAGUGUAACCCACUUUAUUUCUUGAUCCAUGCUACUCUAAAGAGAGAUACAUGUCCACUUACUCACAUUUCAUGCAAUCUAUGAAUAACAUGCCAAUAUGGCAUGUAUCUAGAAACUCAUUUGUUGCUCCAUCAGUGAUAAAGAAAACACCAAGCAAGCCAAAAAAGUUAAGAAGAAACAAAAGUCGAUGAAAUCAAGAAGUCUAGAAAAAUCCCUAGAACUGGAGUUACUAUGACAUGUAGCCAAGUCAAUGUUAAGGGUCACCAAAAAAAGAGGUUGUCCUAUGCUAAAGACUGGUGGAGAUGGUGCUACUCCAAAAGUAGCAAGUGCUGCAGAACUAUCAAACACAAUAAAGGGAAUGGGCAGACCAAAGAAACAAACAAAUAAUGAAGCUGAACCUGCUGCAAAGAAAGGGAGAGAAAGACCUAGAAAAGCUUUAGAUCAGUGUAUUGCAUCUGUACCACCUUCUUCUAACAAAAGAUCAAGUGCAUCUGUUGCUUUUAAUUUUGCACCACCAUCAACAAAUGAUGGUGCUCCUACUGAAGCAAGAACAACACCUACUAAUCAUGGUGCUACUGAUUUUGCAUCAGCACCAAACUCUAGAGAGAGCAACACUUUCUAAUCCUUCUGCAGCACUAGAAAUCCCUUCAAGGAGUGCUGGAAUGUCAUCAAGAACUAGAAGUGCUAGAGGAAGGGGUAGAGGAAGUGGUAAUGCAACAAGAGGUGCUCCUCAUCCACUUGAAAGUUGAUUUACAUGUUCUCAAGGAAGUACAACACAUGAUGCUACAAAUAUUGCACCAAGAGAUAUUGUUGCUGCUACUAUAGGAAUGGAAAAGAGUGUCGGGAACGCAACUCAAUAUAAUAGACCAAGACUGAAUCGAAUGGGUGUGUUUCAAGAUGCAAAUGGCUUCAAAAUCGUUAAUGUAAAUGAUACAUUCAUAGGGCUUGCGUUCUUUGCUUAUAAUGACUUAAACUUAUACCAGUGUUUUUAUAGCCUAGGCUGCCAAGUAGGAACAUAGUAACUACUAAACGUAAGCAAAUAAUAAAAUCAACAGUUAUGUCUGGAGAUAUUGGGUUCAAACCUUUAAGUGGACUGAAGUGGAAAGGCAAGCAAGCAGUCACAAUAAAAAGGCACCAACAGAUUAGAGGUAAAUCAAAGCCUUCAAAUAAUGCAACCAUGCAUAACUCAUCCUCUUCACAACUUGGAGACCUUUGGAAGCUAUAUAGUCUUGUGUUGGUUACUGUUUUGGUGUCACUUAGAUACUAUAUUUGUUGUAUGUAAUAAAGAAGUUGCUGUUUUGGUGCCACAAAGAUACAUGAUGUUUUGGUAUCAUUAUUUUUGGCAUGGAGCUGUUAAGCUGCUA